UAGCACCUAUAGUACGGUAGUAUGGCGAUCGGGGUAUGAGGCGGGGGGACGCCCCGCACACCCGCAGUCACCCGCGCUAUCUCGCACCGGGUAAGCGCGGGGCCUGUGCGGGUGUGCGGGGCGUCACCACCCCGAUUACCAUCUCUACCUGUUGCAAAGUAUACAAGGAACC